rnacentral:rRNA from 1 species
AAAUCACAAUGCGGAACAAUGUUUUGCAAUUGGAUUGAGAACAACGUACAAACCUUAUCGAUAAACAAUUGGAGGGCAAGUCUGGUGCCAGCAGCCGCGGUAAUUCCAGCUCCAAUAGCGUAUAUUAACGUUGUUGCAGUUAAAAAGCUCGUAGUUGAAAUGAAGGGUAGUUGUGUAAUGAAUACAUUCGUGUAUUUUGUUAUUCUACUACCCUCCUUCUAAAUUCGAUAUAUGAGUAUUAAUUUACUUGUAUAUGGUUUUAGACCUUUACUGUGAGAAAAUUAGAGUGUUCAAAGCAGGCAUUUGCUUGAAUAUAUUAGCAUGGAAUAAUCAUGUAUGAUUUUCAUGAUGUAUUUGAUUGGUUUGGUUCAUGAGAAUAAGAUUAAAAGGGACAGUUGGGGGUAUUCAUAUUCAAUAGUCAGAGGUGAAAUUCUCGGAUUUAUGGAAGAUG